AACGAACGCUGGCGGCAUGCCUAACACAUGCAAGUCGAACGAGACCUUCGGGUCUAGUGGCGCACGGGUGCGUAACGCGUGGGAACCUGCCCUUAGGUUCGGAAUAACUCGCCGAAAGGGGUGCUAAUACCGGAUAAUGUCUUCGGACCAAAGAUUUGUCGCCUUUGGAUGGGCCCGCGUUGGAUUAGCUAGUUGGUAGGGUAAAAGCCUACCAAGGCGACGAUCCAUAGCUGGUCUGAGAGGAUGAUCAGCCACACUGGGACUGAGACACGGUCCAGACUCCUACGGGAGGCAGCAGUGGGGAAUAUUGGACAGUGGGCGAAAGCAUGAUCCAGCAAUGCCGCGUGAGUGAUGAAGGCCUUAGGGUUGUAAAGCUCUUUUACCCGGGAUGAUAAUGACAGUACCGGGAGAAUAAGCUCCGGCUAACUCCGUG
rnacentral:rRNA from 1 species